rnacentral:rRNA from 1 species
GAUGAACGCUCGCUACAGGCUUAACACAUGCAAGUCGCGUGGCAGCAUGGGGGUUGCUUGCAAUCCCCGAUGGCGACCGGCGCACGGGUGAGUAACGCGUAUCCAACCUGCCCUUCACCACGGGAUAACCCGGCGAAAGUCGGACUAAUACCGUAUGUUGUCCAUUGACGGCAUCCGAUUUGGACGAAAGGCAUAGCGGUGAGGGAUGGGGAUGCGUCCGAUUAGCCAGACGGCGGGGUAACGGCCCACCGUGGCUACGAUCGGUAGGGGUUCUGAGAGGAAGGUCCCCCACACUGGAACUGAGACACGGUCCAGACUACUACGUGAGGCAGCAGUGAGGAAUAUGGGGCAAUGGGCGUAAGCCUGAACCAGCCAAGUAGCGUGCAGGAUUACGGCCCUAUGGGUUGUAAACUGCUUUUAUGCGGGGAUAAAGUGGCCCACGUGUGGGCUUUUGCAGUUACCGCAUGAAUAAGGACCGGCUAAUUCCGUG